rnacentral:lncRNA from 1 species
CUUGGGCAUCGGUGUUUGAUCGAUAUUAGGUUGCAUUCCGAUGGAUGUUGUGUUGGCAAGAAUCAUGCCAUCCUCCGGAUGGAACCUAGCCAAAUCGUCAAGAGACAAAGCAUCUCCUCCAAUUACAUUGGCAAGCUCUCGAGCUCGUUCUUGAAGUUAAAUCGAUAAAAUAAACAACAAUCUCAAACUAUCACCAACGCAGAUCCGGAAAAUGUAUAAAACAAAAAAUAACUCUUGUUAGAAUGUUACAACAAGAAAAACAAGUGCAUCGUACCAUAGGUUCGAUUGGCAAUUACGACUCUCGCUCCUUUUUGUUUUGCACCGUAAGCUAGUGCCUUCCCAGCACCACCAGCACCAAUAACCACGAACAGCUUACCGG